ACAAUCUGAAAAUUACCUGUAGCGCAUCACUUGCUGUGGGUAAGAUAAUUGUGCCGACACAAAGGUGGUUCAUUUAGCUUAUUGGCAACUCUGCAUAGUUGUGCAAUGAAACCCAUGUACCUACAAUU